GAGGGUAGAGCUCAGUGGUAGAGCACAUGCUUAGCAUGCACGAGGUCAUGGGUUCAAUUUCCAAUACCUCCA
rnacentral:tRNA from 1 species